rnacentral:rRNA from 1 species
ACUUAGUGGCAGACGGGUGAGUAACAUGUGGGUAUCUACCCUUUGGCCUGGAAUAACACGAGGAAACUUGUGCUAAUACCGGAUAAGUCUUUACGGAGAAAGCUUUAUGCACCAUUGGAUGAGCCCGCACUUGAUUAGUUUGUUGGUAGGGUAAUGGCCUACCAAGACUAUGAUCAAUAGCUGAUUUGAGAGGAUGAUCAGCCACAUUGGGACUGAGACACGGCCCAAACUCCUACGGGAGGCAGCAGUGGGGAAUCUUGCACAAUGGAGGAAACUCUGAUGCAGCGAUGCCGCGUGAGUGAAGAAGGCCUUUGGGUUGUAAAGCUCUUUCGUCGGGGAAGAAAAUGACUGUACCCGAAUAAGAAGGUCCGGCUAACUUCGUGCCAGCAGCCGCGGUAAUACGAAGGGACCUAGCGUAGUUCGGAAUUACUGGGCUUAAAGAGUUCGUAGGUGGUUGAAAAAGUUGGUGGUGAAAUCCCAGAGCUUAACUCUGGAACUGCCAU